rnacentral:rRNA from 1 species
UAGGUCGUCGACCAAUCCAUAAAGUUGGUCUCAGUUCAGAUUGUAGGCUGCAACCCGCCUGCAUGAAGAUGGAGUUGCUAGUAACCGCAGGUCAGCUAUACUGCGGUGAAUACGUUCCCGGGGCUU